AAACUUUCAACAACGGAUCUCUUGGCUCUCGCAUCGAUGAAGAACGCAGCGAAAUGUGAUAAGUAAUGUGAAUUGCAGAAUUCAGUGAAUCAUCGAAUCUUUGAACGCACCUUGCGCUCUCUGGUAUUCCGGAGAGCAUGCCUGUUUGAGUGUCAUGA
rnacentral:rRNA from 1 species